rnacentral:lncRNA from 1 species
GCUGUCUUCGUGAUAGUGAGUUCUUGUAAGAUCUGGUCAUUUUAAAGUGUUUGGCACUUGUACCAUUUCACUGUGUCUUGCUCCUGCUUUCACCAUGUGAAGUGCCUGCUCCAGCUUCACUUUUCACCAUGAUUGUAAACUUCCUGAGGCCUCCCUAGAAGCCAAGCAGAUGCCAUCACCAGGGUUCGCCUUGGCCUCCCAAAGUGCUGGGAUUAUAGGAAUGAGCUGUGGCAUCUGGCCAAGAAGGAUCUUUUAGCUGAACUCUGCAUACUGUUUAUGGCCUUUGGAGACAGAUGAAAUCCAAAGAGGAUACAUUCGGGGCAAGGGGAAUGAAGGGAGCUGGGAAAGACGCAACAGUUUGUUUCUACCCUGGCAUCAGGGAAGUUCCCGGGCACAUAUUCCACUUUGUCAAGGUGAAAAUAUAGUUAUUCCUGCAAACAUUGAGAAAGAUUUCAAAAUAAAACUCUCAGAUAUGCAAAACUUUAAAAGGACAGAGUCAACCAAAUAGGUCUGAGAAUAAGCAGAAUUAAUGUCACUUAAGACCAUUUCCCUCUGAAUAACGGUGAGAGCACUUGGUGGAGAAGUCUAGGUAUAACUGACUCUCAGCAUUUGUAUCCAAAUAUCAUUAUUGAUUUAUAACUUUCCCUGGGCUAUCUGAGUCCUACAGUCUGCCUAUGUUAGUAAUCCCUGCCUAAACUGGCACAGCUCACUCUGGCCCAUGGCAGCAUGGCACAUUCACCUUUGGGGCCCAAUCUGUUCUGAAGAUAACAGAAGGUACCCCACUACACUUCAACAGAUUACUCAAAGGGAUUCUAUCCCCGUGAGCUUCUUCACAUCAAAAAAUGAGAUAAUGGCAAUUCAUCUAACAGGAACACAAUUCUUUGGACCUGCAGGCAGCAAAAUAAUCACAAAAAUCAAUGAGAAGGAAGCUAAGAAUCCACUGGACCCAAUAGGUAAAACAGAAGAAGUCUCAUUAUGUUCAUGAAACAUUAAUUUGUAUCUGUUUUUUUCAUUUGCGUCAUAUCUGGAGAAAGGUAAGUAAUCCACACAUUAUGUUAAUUUUAAUUUUAUUUGUUUUUAGAUAGGGCUGUGCUCUGUCACCCAGGCUGGAGUGCAGUUGCAUGAUCAUGGGUCACUGCAGCCUCAACUUCCUAGCCUCAAGCAAUCCCCCUGCCUCAGCCUCUCAAGUAGCUGAGACCACAGGUACAUGUGCCACCACACCCAGCUAAUAUUUUUCUUUCUUUUAUUUUUUGUUGUAAAGAUAGGGUCUCACUAUGUUACCGAGGCUGAUCUUGAACUUCUGGGCUCAAGCAAUCCUCCUGCUUUGCUCUCCCCAAGUACUGAGAUUGCAGGCAUGAGAUAUCAUGCCCAGCCUCUUAUUUUUAAUUUUUAAAAAUCUCAUCAAACAGGAGCUGAGAUCUGCUUCUAUGAAAUGGAAGAGUGGUGGUCAAAGAAGCAGUCAUUGUACUAAGAAAUGGCUUGAAAGGAUUUCGCUUUUCUGUCAUCUCCAUUAACCCUCCCCACCCACCAUUAAACGAAACAAAUCAAAAACAAAAGCAAACAAAUGAAAAUCAACCCUCAGUAAAUUUUCCAUUUAGGUUAAAUUUUGCCAUGCAGUGUUUUAAAACACACAUUUUAGUCUCUCAUAUAACUCCCUGAUACACACACACACACACACACACACACACACACACACACACACACACACCUCUCCUACCAAGAAAAAUGGAGGCAGCAGGACUGGAAGAAGAGACAGGACUUCACUUACCUUGGUGGCUACUGCAUCCAAUCUUCCUGGCUCCUUCUUCCUCCUUUUUAUUGUUGGCAUUUGUAAAUUAAGGCAUGCAGAAGACAUCUGGUAUGAUUACCCUAGGAUUCCUUGUAUUAUCACAAAAUUCACUUUCAGGUUUCCAAGGGAUGAUCCAGUUUGCAUAUUAACCAUGCUCAUACAAAUAAAUAGAACACACUGUGAAACAAUUUGAGUAAUUGCUCAGAAUGAACAAUAUCCUUUACUCAGUAGGUGACGUGUAUUGGUUGAAGUUACAUAACAAAUAUUUUAAUAAGAGAGUGCUUUUUCCCACCCCACCCUUCAUCGCACAUAGUUUCUUUCUGCUGCUAACUCCUCUCAGCAGUGGCUAGUUGUAAACUGAAGGCUAAGAUGUCUGCAAGAAGCUGAGAUUCUUAGCACUGUGGAAGGUAGGCUGUGGGGUGAAUGGCAAGAUAGAUGUAACAAAGUAUAGAGAAGCAGGGAGAAUUUCUCUGCCCGGCUAGGACAUAUCAUAUAUUUAAUGGAGAAAGCAGUCCACAUAAAAAACACGUCUACACAUAAGGUGUGAUUUAAAUGGCUAAGUUUAAAUGAAGACAGUCUAUGCCUCAUAUUGAUUUUUAAGUUAUUCUUUGUCCUGUUAAUUGAAAUAUUAUUAUUUGGAUAUAUAAUUCUCUUAUUAACAGCAGCUAUGAGAAAAAUUUUAGCGUGAGUUGUUCAUGUGGUGUGCAUAUAUGAAGGAAUUUUUAAAUUGUCACUGGUUUUGUCAUAUUUCAGAAAAAAAGUAGCAAAUCGCUCCUUCAAAGAAGAAACUUGACAUUAUCAAGGAUCUUGUUCCCAUGGCAUCAUUGACUUUAUCCAAUGGCAGCAGCUUAAAAUUUCCAUAGAAACUGGAUCUGACAAUGACUGCUAAAAGUGCAGUCCCCCAUAGCAAUAUCAGUUGAAUUGAAAAGGAAGCGUAAAUUGUCUUAUCAAAAUCUUUUCCCACACAGUCCAUAUUCUCACAUUGUCCUCUGCUAUUUUAGUAAAUAUUGACUUGCUGCCCAAAGGAGUGGCUUUGUAAGAAGGCUUGAGAGAUGUAAUAGUAAUACCAAUGAUUUAGGUGGAAAAUAAAAAAAAAUUAUAGUGCUUAUUUCAUUGGUUAGAGAUAAAUGUAUGUAAAUCUUCCAGCAGAGAAGUUUCCAAAAACCUUAUUUUUUCCUUCCUUCUUUACUUCUUUUUCUUCAUUAUUUUUUUCUCCCUUCAUUCCUUCUAUCCUUCAUUCUUUUUUCUUUCCUUUCUUUCUUUUCUUCCUUUCUCCUUGUCUCUCUCUUCCCCCCCUUCCUAGCUUUUUUUCUUUCUAUACAUCCAUCUUUCCUCUCUUCCUUAGAUAUCUGUUUCCCUUUCCAUAUUUUAAAAGCAUCCAGGAUUAAGUCCUGUACUAACUAAAGAACCAACAAUUUCUGUAUCUUCUUCUUUCAUUUCUUAAUUUGGUCUAGUUUAUACCUAUCUAGUAAUGAGUAAUCUGUGGCUACAAGAAAAAUAACAAGUUCAAAUCCCUUGUAAGGUAACUGAAAGACCCCUGUGUGCGCACCUAUAAAGACACAGUCCUCUGCCAUGUUCCUCAACUUUGUACCAUUCAACAGAAAACUCCCAGGAAGAACAGCAGCUCAGAAUUUUUCUAGUAAGCUCUUUGAUAGGAAAGCCAAGAUGUCCUUUUCCUCUUUUCAUAACGGGCUAUUGUUUCUGCCUUUCCUUUAAGGGUGUCAGGCAGGGAGAUAAAACUCUGGAGGGAAGACUGGAUGCAGGCUUUUCACUAAUAACUUGAGUCAGAAAUAGGAAAAAAAAUAGUUCCUUAUUUUAUUUCCAUCUGCCUGACCUCAUUUAUUUAUUAUCCAUUCAUAUAAUAGAUAUUAACUGAGUCCCCACUAUUUCCUCACAUCUCUACAUAAUGCCACUUAUCUGUUACUUUGCAUUCUUGAUUAAUAUCAUGCUUCACUUGGAUUUCUCUGAUAGCCCUUACUUGCUGUCUUUUUCUCAUCAUCAACCCUUUUCUUCAACCCACCCUACAAAUCUGUAGCCAGGUCAAGCUUGCUACAGGGCUGUUUGGAUGCUAUUAUUUCCAUUCUCAUGAACUUCCAGAAUCUUCCCAGUUUUAUGGAAUAAAAUUCAAACCUUUUAGCCUUCAGUUCAGGGUCUUAUAAUCUGGGUCCAACAAUUCUACUUUUGUAAUACCUUAUACGUAAGGAAGACCAAGCUAUGUGUUUGUUCUCCUUGUCCUCUUUUUCUCUUCCUGUCCGCAUGCUAUGCUCUCUAAGUGCUGAUUGACUCACUGAUCCUUUUGGCCUUCUUCCUUUACUCAACUGUCAAGCCUCCCUUCAUCUUCCCUUUUCUGCUCUCCAGCAGGAAUUCACUUCUAGCUCUUCUACAACCCAUGGAAUUUUAUCUCUUCUGUAACCUUUUGCAUUUUUAAGUUUAUAGUUAUGAGUAUUUGCAUACAUCACUUAUUUGCCGUUUUAGAAUGUAUGCUCCUUGAGAGCAGAGCGCACCAUUGAAUACGCUCUAUAGCUCAACAGCAUGCUUCAUAGUCUUCAACUGAGUAAAUGGAUGUAUGUGCUGCAACGCCACUCUCUAUCAGUUUUAGAAAGACAUGCUUAAUAAUAAGCCUAUUGCUAAUUUCAGCUAUAAUGGGUGAUAUUAUGGUUCAGUAAGAGCCUUUUGUAUCAAGACUUUAAAAAUUUUUCUUGCUAUUUAGACAGUGGCUGUUCCAUCAGUCCCAGCAAGAUAAGAACCUCUGGAGAAUCAUAACCUUCCUUUGGUACACAAACUCUUGUCCAUUAGCAUCUUACUGCCUGUAAUGAUGCUUACCAAUCAGAUUAAGAAAUGUACUCCUAACCCAAGACAAGGAUACCUUUUACUCCUUAUUCCUAACAGUCUUCUUUGAAUGUGUUUUUAAAAAUUCACAAGUUUCCAAAAUCAAAGUGUAUUAAAAAGUAUAUAAUGCAAAGUCUCCUUGCCACUCUGUUUGUCAUGUGCCCAGUUGCCAGUACACUACUAAAUAGAUAUUCCUGUGUUAGAUU